rnacentral:lncRNA from 1 species
AAAAGGGAAAUUGCCAAAAAUACAAUUUUUAAAGUACCACUUUUCAUGUUUACACUAACCACUUUUACUCUCAUCUUUAAUGAAGGGUAAAAGACAUUUAUAACCUUUUGAUUAACUUUGACAAAAAAAUAACUAACCUAAACUUAAAACAUCAACUUUAAACCCUCAUUCAUCAACUCUAAACCCUAAAUCAUCAACUCUAAACCCUAAACCAUGAAACAUCAACUCUAAACCGUAAACCCUAAA